UGCAAGUCGAGCGCGAAAUCAUCUUCACGAUGAGAGUAGAGCGGCGGACGCGUGAGUACCGCGUGGGAAUGUACCUUUCGGUAAGGAAUAACCAUUGGAAACGAUGGCUAAUACCUUAUACGCCCCAAGGGGGAAAGAUUUAUCGCCGAAAGAUCGGCCCGCGUUAGAUUAGCUUGUUGGUGAGGUAAUGGCUCACCAAGGCGACGAUCUAUAGCUGGUUUGAGAGGAUGACCAGCCACACUGGGACUGAGACACGGCCCAGACUCCUACGGGAGGCAGCAGUGGGGAAUCUUGGACAAUGGACGCAAGUCUGAUCCAGCCAUGCCGCGUGAGUGAUGAAGGCCUUAGGGUUGUAAAACUCUUUCAACAGGGAAGAUAAUGACUGUACCUGCAGAAGAAGCCCCGGCUAACUCCGUGCCAGCAGCCGCGGUAAUACGGAGGGGGCUAGCGUUGUUCGGAAUUACUGGGCGUAAAGCGCGCGUAGGCGGCUUGCCAAGUUGGGGGUGAAAGCCCGGGGCUCAACCUCGGAACUGCCCUCAAAACUGGCGAGCUAGAGAUCUGGAGAGGUGAGUGGAAUUCCUAGUGUAGAGGUGAAAUUCGUAGAUAUUAGGAAGAACACCAGUGGCGAAUGCGGCUCACUGGCCAGAUACUGACGCUGAGGUGCGAAAGCGUGGGGAGCAAACACGAUUAGAUACCCUGGUAGUCCACACCGUAAACGAUGGAUGCUAGGUGUUGGGCA
rnacentral:rRNA from 1 species